rnacentral:lncRNA from 1 species
UCGGUUUGGCCACCGACCGGAGGUGUACUUAUCCGGAUGGGUCGUCCUGUGGGGCGGGUGAAUCAGGUCGGUGCAGGUUAGUGACAGGCAGCGCUUGAGGUCUGCGGACCAAUAUAGCAGGUACCAGAUUGGGUAUAUUUGGACUUCUUGUCCGGUUGACGCAUAUAGCUAUAGUAGAGGUUGUUGCUUGUAUACCUUCAGUUCUUUCUUUACACUUGUCUUGCUACUAUAUUUUUGUUGCAUGUAUACUUUCAGUUGUUCAUUACAGUAGCGGUAGUUGUACUUUCUUAUAUAUAUAUAUAUAUAUAUAUAUAUAUAUCUCUUUCGUUCAUUAUUGUUGCUACUGUAUUUCCACUGACCCGUAUUGUUGUUUAGCUCUUCCUGAUCCGGUGAGUACUCCUCGCCUUCAUCGGCUUGCGGUACCCACUGGGAGGGGAGACAUGUUUACAUGUUCUCACAUCCCCCACCAUUUUUCAGGUAUCGCCGGUGGUGAGAGUUGAGACUAGGCGUGAGACACGUUCGUAGUGGUCGUUAGAGCUUCCGACCCAGUUUGUCGGUUUAGUUCCUAUCCUGUUUACUUUUGUUAUUAAUAGCUUUGAUAUUACAUGGUUCAGUUAGUUUAUGUUAUUCGAAUUCAUGUGGUUUUGAAUGAACUAUAGAACUCGUGGAUUUUGUGAAAAGGGAAAAUGGUUUUCUACCCCUCGUGGCAGCGUUUUUAAAAGAUAAAAGUUUUCGAGCAGGGAACGGUUUUCAAAAGAUUUUCUGUGGAUUUAUGUGUAGACAUUGAAUGUAAAUCUGUGAUGUGAAUGGUGAAUGUAUGAAUGUAUAGUUAUCUCUAUAUUCAUGUAGUUGUGGUUGUAUUCGGUUUACUUGUUGUACUUGUGCGACGCCGUGCAAAUACAGGGGAGACUCUGUCCAUGUGAACAGUGAAUUUUCUGUAUUUAUCUGGCAUACCCUUGGGUCAGAAUUUUAAAAAAAAUUUAGACGCUUUUCCGCUUUGUUUCAAACUAAAAGGGACCCCGGGGCGUGACAAGAAAUAAAUUAGUACCUUUUGC